rnacentral:rRNA from 1 species
UACGAGAGGCGCAAACGUUAUUCGGAAUUACUGGGCUUAAAGAGUUCGUAGGCGGCGCAGAAAGUAGGGUGUGAAAGCCCUCGGCUUAACCGAGGAAUUGCGCUCUAAACUACUGUGCUUGAGGGACCUAGAGGUGAGCGGAACUGAUGGUGGAGCGGUGAAAUGCGUUGAUAUCAUCAGGAACACCGGAGGCGAAGGGCGGCUC